CGGCGCCUGGAUCACCGGCGCCCGGGUCGCCGGCGCCGGCGCCGUUAGCAAGGUUGGAGACGCCGGGUUCGAGGCCGGGAACGUCGG
rnacentral:tRNA from 1 species